rnacentral:rRNA from 1 species
GAUGAACGCUGGCGGCGUGCCUAAUACAUGCAAGUCGAGCGAACGGACGCGAAGCUUGCUUCUCUGUUGUUAGCGGCGGACGGGAGAGUAACACGUGGAUCCCCUACUUAUAAGACUGGGAUAACUUCGGGAAACGGGCGAUAAUAGCGGAUAAUAUUCUGAACCGCAUGGUUCAAAAGAGAAUGACGGCCUUGCUGUCAGUUAUAGAUGGUUCCCGGCUGGAUUGGGUAGUUGGUAAGGUAACGGCCUACCAAGGCAACGAUGCAUAGCCGAGGUGAUAGGGGGAUCGGCAACACUGGAACGGAGACACGCUCCAUAGUCCUACGGGAGGCCCCAGUAGGGAACCUUCCGCAAUGGGCGAAAGCCUGACGCAGCAACGCCGCGUGAGUGACGAAGGCCCUCGGUUCGUAAAACUCUGUUAUUAGGGAAAAACAUAUGUGUAAGGAACUGUGGACAUCUUGACGGUACCUAAUCAGAAAGCCACGGCUAACUACGUG